rnacentral:lncRNA from 1 species
AGUGAAGUGGCUCGCGCGGGCCCCGGCUGCAGCCGCUCCCCAGACACCGGGGAUCCGGCCCGAUUGUUUCCUACCCACAACGGCCAAGGCCCGGCUACAGCGCGUCCACGAAGCCCACGUACUGAGCCAGGACGGGGCUCUCCCUCUCGAUGUAGGGGACUACCCACUGCUCCGCCACCCAGUGAGGCAGCUAAUUAAGAAAGCCACCUUCAGGAUGUCUUUCAAGAAUCUAGCCUGGAAGAAAGUCAUGUAAGAGAACCCUGCAUCAAAAAGUCGGGAGGCCGGGCGGAGUCGCCGUUAAACGUCUCGGGAAAGCCACCAGGUGGGCCGGCGAACGCUCCCGGGCCAGCAGGUAGGCUUUCUCGCACAGCAGCCCCCGCACCCGGUCCAUAAGCUCGUUGUUCUCCCUGCGCCGGGCAUGGUUCUGGGUCAGGAGAUCCUACAUCAUGACAGCCAGCGCGUCCAUCCCGCGCCUCACCGCAGGCCUUGCUCCCCGCUCACUCCCUGCCGGCCGCGGCGCUGCCGGAAGUGCGUGUCGGCUCGGGGGCCGGUCCCGGUGGCGGCGAGGGGCGGACUCCGCGGACAAGGCCAGGCCUAUCCUUGAGCGCCGUCGGGCAGGGGCGCCGGGAUUGGUGUCCGGCAGAGCGUGAGCCCAGCGGGCUGGAGUCGGCGCGCGGGAGUGAAAGAAGAAAAGCUGGAGAGCGAAGGCAAAGCCCCCGGAGAGAGGGCCGCCUCGGCGGAGGAAUCUGACUUCACGGUUGCGUGAGCUGACUUCACGGUUGCGUGAGCUCACUUCCGGAGAGCUCCCUCCGCCCGGCGGGUCCGCUAGUGGCUAAAGGCAAAGCGUUCCUGGGCGCGGUGCAUAAAGUUGAGCUUUCUCCCUGCUAGCCCCCGCUUUCUCCCCCAAAAUAUCUCCUAGCCUUAAUGUUUAUGCCUCCAUUGCCCCGGUUCUUAUCUGUUUUGCUCAAGGUCUCAUAGCUACAAGAAGGCAAUUUCUAACGAAGCCCUCCGUGCCUUCCAAAUGGAUUAUUUUGGCGGACUUCCACCCGGACAGUAUGCCACCCGAAUGACUGGACAAGUGCACGGGAGCGGCUGUUAUUUGCGGAGUGCCCCUUGCGAUCUAGGCGCCUCACAGCGCAAGUUAUCCAGUAAUUUCUCUGAAAUCGAUGCUGGUUUGUUUUCCGAAGGCAAAUCAGCAGCUUAUACAGACACUGGGGCCGCAAAGCCGGUGGAACAAGGGGAGACGGCUUGCUGAGUGUCAGGUCUUCCAAGAUGAGCUUAAACUUAGGGUGGUGGGCAGGCUCGGUAGGUGGGAAAGGCCCGUGUCCAGAUGAAUGCAGUCCAUGUUUAUAUUGAUGAAAGACACGCAUACCAUUUGGUCCAGCUCAGCCAUUCUUACAAGUGCUGGUUGUGAGCACUGGUGUGUGUGUGCCUGCGUACAACCAGUAAUGUAAGUGAUGACCAGCUGCAUGAUGCCUUAAUUUGAGUGGACAAAGUCGGUCAAGAACCACUUUCAGGCUUCUGGGUCUCCAAGUCUUUGUCUCCCUGUAUCCAAACGAGGCAUUCCGAGGUUGACAGCAUGGAACAUUCCAUGUCCGAAAUACCCACGGUGAAACUGGGUAAAAAACUUCAGGAGGUGAUAUUGAUGUGUAUAGUUUAGGAAAUAAAACCCAAUAUUUACUUCAAAGAAUGUAAUUUGUGGCUUUUUAGAGAUAAGGAUACUUUGACAGUUUUCAUUUGUCGUUUACAUGGAUAUGGUACGUUUCAUUCUGACUUUUAAUUAAUUUGGUGUUUUACUAUGGAAACAACUUUGUAUUAAUAAAAUAAUGUAUUUCCAAUGUUGUAAGUUGUGUUAUAACAGUUUCAAAAGCCAAAUAAACAAGAUGCAUUUUGA